AUGCUCGCUUCUGCAGCACAUAUACUAAAACUGGAACGAUACUGAGAAGAUUAGCAUGGCCCCUGCCAAAGGAUGACAUGCAAAUUUGUGAAGUGAUCCAUAUUUUU